GCAGCGACGCAGCGUGCGGGAUGACGGCCUUCGGGUUGUAAACCGCUUUCAGCAGGGAAGAAGCGCAAGUGACGGUACCUGCAGAAGAAGUACCGGCUAACUACSUGCCAGCAGCCGCGGUAAUACGUAGGGUACGAGCGUUGUCCGGAAUUAUUGGGCGUAAAGAGCUCGUAGGUGGUUGGUCACGUCUGCUGUGGAAACGCAACGCUUAACGUUGCGCGUGCAGUGGGUACGGGCUGACUAGAGUGCAGUAGGGGAGUCUGGAAUUCCUGGUGUAGCGGUGAAAUGCGCAGAUAUCAGGAGGAACACCGGUGGCGAAGGCGGGACUCUGGGCUGUAACUGACACUGAGGAGCGAAAGCAUGGGGAGCGAACAGGAUUAGAUACCCUGGUAGUCCAUGCCGUAAACGUUGGGCACUAGGUGUGGGGGGCAUUCCACGUUCUCCGCGCCGUAGCUAACGCAUUAAGUGCCCCGCCUGGGGGAGUACGG
rnacentral:rRNA from 1 species